rnacentral:lncRNA from 1 species
UGCAAUUCUAAGGUAUUUGUUUGUUAUUUUUUUCACUGUUAUGUUAUUUGGUUGAAUGGAUGCUAAAGUUUCAUAUUUUUUUCUUCAGUUUUUCGUAUUUCGUUGAAUGGGUGUACGAAGUUUUGAUGUUAAUGAAGAAUACGAAUAUACGGGUGAAAAGAGCUGCAGUAAGCAAAGGAGAAAAAGAAGAUAGGGUUCCUAUUUAUGUAUUUGAAGUUUUAUUAUAUAGGUUUACAAAGUUUUCAUUUUUAUGUUGGUCAAAAUUCAAAGAGAAUCAAAAUUAGGGCAAAAUUAAACUUACAAAUUUGCCAAAAAUUUCAGUACUCAGAUGAAAAAGACUAGCAAAACUAAGAGCAACCCUUGAAAUCUAGAGAGGAGAGUAACUAGCAAGGAAUCUGUAUGUUGUGGGAUUAGAAGAGAAUCACUCUUCUAAAAUAUUAACAAUCUCCCUUCGGGGUGGCCCAGUGGUUUGAGCUUGGGACUUCCAUGUUGGAGGUCUCAAGUUCGAAACCCCUUGCCAGCGAAAGCAGGGGAUUUGCCUUCUGGGUCGAGCUCGUCGCACCAGGCUUGCCUAGUGCGGGUUACCUCUCCUAUGUGGUUUGAGAGCUAUUGCAUAGGAGCGGGGGUUUUACCCUGUGCGCACCCAAAAGGGUAGCGGCUGCGGGUUUCCCUUGUCAUAAAAAAAAAAUAAAAAAAUAUUAUCAAGCUAAAUUUCAUGCCUAUAAAUUGCCUAAAGAACCGCAUAUCUUAAUGUUUGCAUUCAGUACUCUUAGUCAAUUUGUCUUCAAUCAAUGUUUGGAAUUUCAAAUGCGUGGAAACAUAACUAAGUAAUUAAAUAUGUGUUCUCUCUAACAACUUAAGCUUUAGAUGAGAUGAUCACACGCUACAUCAUGGUAUCGAAGUAGACAAGAGGUCAUGGAUUCCAGUCUCCCCGUCACCCAUUAUUAUCAAAAAAUAAUUUCCAUGAACUUGGACCAUGAAAAAGGUCCGCAGAUGACUGAUGUUUUGAAGCAUAAUUAAGUAAUUAAAUGUCUCUCUCUGACAGCAUAGGCUUUAAUUAGGUGAGAUGGUCACACAUUAAAACAAAAUGUAAUUGCUUAUUGUGUGUUUCUGCAUAAUGCUGCAUUGCAGUGUGUUCUUUUAUCGUUCUAAUUUAACUUUUGCAUGUGUGUACCUGUAUUGUUGUUUUAUUAAAGCUUUUUUGGCAAGUUAUUGAAUGUCGAGAGAAAUAAAAUAUUUUUUUGCAGGGAUCGAAGUGGAAAUAAGAGUUCGAGCAUUUAUCUUUGCUCUCUUCUAUCAUUUGGUGGAAAGAGGAUGGUAGGGAAAAAAUAUUUUCACUCUAUUUUUAGCUCUUAUCGAAUUUGUAGAUUUCUGAAGUGCUUCGUUCACACGUGUUAAAGUAUAUGUUAGGUCUCUGAAUUACAACUUGAUGAUGGCUAUGUUUUCUCCUUAACUUGAGUUUCCUUUUUACAGUAAGAGACUAUUAGUCACUUGCCCAUUGGUUUUAUGUGUUUCACCGCAACAAAGCAUCUGGAAAUUUCUCUAUCAUCAUCUUUAUUUCUGUUUGCCCUGCAAUUCUAGUCAGUUUCUUCAUUUUUUUCUCUGUCGAAUGUACAAUUUUCUUUAUUCUUUGCUCAUCACUGUACAAGACUGUUGGUAAUGAGUAUUUGUUAGUAUUUCCACCCCAAUUUAUUCAUGCAUACUUAGUAUUUUUCUGAUUACUCAUUUAGUCUGAUUUUUACUUGUUGGAGUUCUAAACUCCAUUCUUCUCUCUUGAGCCAAUUAUACUUUCUCUUAUCACAUUCAAUCAUUUAAGACACUCUAAAUUCUGAUAUACUGCUUUCUUGAGUGUUUUAUGUUGCCACUUUUUGCAAGCUUAUUGCGUCAAAUUUGUUUCAUUUUUAUGAGAUAAGCUGUUAUUAGUUUGUAGAUAUGGAGCCUCCUAAAAUGAUCUACUAAAUUCAUCGAGUUGUCCCAAGGGAUCAAAACAGACAAUUAUUAAUGGAAUUCUUCUCCGCUAUUAGGUUUCAUUACUUUAGUUUGCUUUGCAACUCUUUUUCUAUUAUGAUUACUCAAAGAAAAUUAAGUAUCAAUAUGUUACCCUUUCCUGUUGCUUCUAUUGUUCG